rnacentral:lncRNA from 13 species
GGAAAUCUCAAGCAGUUUCAUCCAGCAAAUAUACAAGCCUUUUGUGCCUUGAACCCCAAUGCGUAAAGACAUUCACAAACAUCCUGGAAUUGGUGCUGGCUUUCAGCCGGCCUUGUCCUUUCACCAGUUUUAAGAGUUAGUAGACGAAAAGGUCAUGAAUCUGGAAAAAUGCCCUUUCAUAGACAAGAAAUCCAAAACAAAAACAUGUGUUGGAGCCAGACCCAGGAAACUGGAAGCAACUUUAAUCGUCAUGUCAAUUAAAUGGACUGCAACUACAGAGGAUAGGUUAUAG